rnacentral:tRNA from 1 species
GUGCGUAUAGCAAAAUUGGUAAUGCACUUGACUUUUAAUCAAGAGAUUGUCAGUUCGAGCCUGACUACGCACACCA